rnacentral:rRNA from 1 species
CGGGCGGACGGGUGAGUAAUGUCUGGGAAACUGCCCGAUGGAGGGGGAUAACUACUGGAAACGGUAGCUAAUACCGCAUAAUGUCUACGGACCAAAGCGGGGGACCUCCGGGCCUCGCGCCAUCAGAUGAACCCAUAUGGGAUUAGCUAGUAGGUAAGGUAACGGCUUACCUAGGCGACGAUCCCUAGCUGGUCUGAGAGGAUGAUCAGCCACACUGGGACUGAGACACGGCCCAG